rnacentral:tRNA from 1 species
GUAGUGAUAGUUCAGUGGUAGAAUUCUUGCCUUCCGUGAAAGAAACCUGGGUUCGAGUCCCAGCCAACGCA